rnacentral:tRNA from 1 species
UUAAUUAAAGCUAAAUUUUGAAGCAUAUUAUUGUUAAUAGUAAAAUAGAGAAAAUUUUUUAUUUCUUUAAUUAAU